UCUUCUUCUCCUCACCGAGUGUUUCAUCCGCAACAGCUCCAUUUAUCCCUUCUCCUCUUCGGCGAGUGCUUCAUCUGCAAUGGCUCCAUAGUUCUCCUAAGAGGUAGCCACCGGAGUUCGUGUCAGCAAAUCAGUUGGAAAAACCUUAAUCCCCACCUAUUUGACAAUAGGCAUAACAAAUGGAUAUUAAAGAGGAAUUGUUUGAACCGCUAUUUUCGGAGAGAAGUUCCAAUGUUCUGAAUGAUGAGAUUGAAGAUGGAAAUAUUGAUGAUGAUGUAACAGUUAUUAAUGAUGAAUCUACUAUUUACAUAGGUCAAUUAUUUAAGUCGUGUGAGGAGGCCUUUUUUGCAUAUAGAUUGUAUGCAAAGAUGCAUGGUUACUCAGUACGGAAAUAACAAUGUUCUGUCCAGAAGAGAGGAAAGGGUGGAAAAAUAUAUCGGAUGAACUUUGUAUGUCAUAGAUCAGGUACCUUAGGCAAGAAGACUUUGGUUGAUGUGAUGAAUGAUAAGAGGAAUAGAAAUCAUGCCAUGCAUUGUAAGGCUCAUAUGAAAGUGGCUUUGGUCAAUAGGGAUGGGGUACUUUUAUGGCAUGUGAUUGCUUUUUCAGAGUCCCACAGCCAUGAAUUUUUAAAUCAGAAUGAAGUUUGUCAUCUACGUGCACAUAGGUUCAUUUUAAAGCAUUGCAAGGAUGGGUUGUUAGCUCUUGACCAAGCCAAAAUCUCUGUUCGUUAGAUGUUAACAAUAUUAAUUCAAUAGCAGAAUGUUCCAGUUGGUUGUUUACCAUUCAGUACAAAAGAUGUGCACAAUUUUUUGAGUUCAAUGAAGAAUCCUGGUAUGAAGGUAGAAAGUAUGAUGCAGCGAAUUUGAUAAUGAUGUGCAUGCAAUUGAAGGAGAAGGAUCUUGAUUUUCAAUUUUCGCAUGAGGUCGAUGAGCAAAUCCGUUUGAUGCAUGUUGCUUGGUCCCAUGCAACUUCAAUACGUGCUUACCAUAAUUAUGGUGAUGUGGUUGUGUUUGACACCACUUAUAAGCUCAAUUCCUAUGAUAUGCCAGUCAGUAUUUGAGUGGGUGUCAACAACUUUGGAUCAACUUGUUUCUUUGGUUGUUGUCUCUUGAGGAACGAGAAAAUACCAUCAUUUGAGUGGGCUUUUAAUGUAAGUGAGACAUAUUUUAUUCUAAUGUUUAAUUAUGUAAUGCUUUGUUUUGUUGAUUGUAAUUAACGUACUAACACGUUAAAAUGCUUCUACAUGAUCCUUGAUGUAGAUUUUUUUUAAAUUUAUGAAUGGAAAGGCUCCAAAGUCAAUCCUCA